GUGCCUAACACAUGCAAGUCGAACGAGAAAGUGGAGCAAUCCAUGAGUAAAGUGGCGACCGGGUGAGUAACACGUGACUAACCUACCCUAGAGUGGGGGAUAACCUCGGGAAACCGGGGCUAAUACCGCAUAACAUCACGAGGGGAAGAUCCUUGUGAUCAAAGGAGCAAUUCGCUCAAGGAGGGGGUCGCGGCUGAUUAGCUAGUUGGUGAGGUAACGGCUCACCAAGGCUUAGAUCAGUAGCCGGCCUGAGAGGGCGCACGGCCACACUGGAACUGAAACACGGUCCAG
rnacentral:rRNA from 1 species